UAAACUGACCUCAGGUGAGAGCUAUGGUAAGACCUGAUGCUCAAUCAUCUCUUUGAUCUCUAAGACCUAAUGACAAGGGGGAGAUGUUUGCUCUUCUAGAGGAUGACAUCAGGCAAGCAGAACGAGCUUUGGAAUUUUCUUCCUGGGGUGAAGGCUCAUUCAAGAAACAAAAAAGAAUACGGUGGACCGCAAAGAUCGGGUGAGUCCAUCAAUGUGGUUUUCAAGGAACCGAUUUACAAACUCCUCACCCGGAUUUAAGACAAGCCAUACUACAAAAAGCUUUCUCCCAUAUGACGAGAUCCCAAAAAUGCAAUCAGCUUGUCGAAAUGUGUCUUCCACGAGAAAAAGUGGUACAAAAUCAAAAAUUACAGAGCCUUGAAGACUUUCCUAGAUUAGCUUAUUCAGGAUGGACAUUUGAAAUAGUUUAUUGAUCAGGAGAAGACAAAGGUAGAGGAAGCCGAGGUUAGACUAAAUAAGUUUUACCGAGGCAAUGAUGAAGUUGAUGUGCCUCAGAGGAAGACCUCGUUCUGAGAACUAUUCACAUGAUUGGGGGCCAAAUCACCAUAAUCUUAAGAAUAUGAUCUAGGGGAGAUCCGCAUCAUUGGACAAAUACACGAGGUUCUCUCGGUCCAACUAGUAGUGAAGAAGCCAAGGCAGGGCUUAUCUGAGCCAAGGCAGGGCUUAUCUGAGCCAAAAAGCAUAACAUUUAUCAAGGCUAAUCUUGAGCGGAUUGAACACUCUCACAAGGAUCCCUUGGUUAUCCAGUAGCGGGUCCACAACUAUGAUGUCAAAAUAAAGUCUAAUAGACACUGAUAGCUCAGUUGAGGUGAUGUAUUAUGAUCUUUUUAAAUAGCUUAAACUAUUUGAGGCUAAUUUAAAGCCAGCCCGAGCUCUAUUAGUUGGGUCCAACACUCAGUCUCACUAGACCUUAAGAACUGUAACCCUCAAUGUCCAAGAAGGUUACCAAUACUUGGUGACAAAUUGUUGUUGAUAUUUCCUCCCCUAUAACGCAAUUGUUGGCCGAGAUUAGUUAUAAAAGAAGAAGGGAGUUGCCUCAGGUCAUCAAGUUUGUCACCCACCAAUGCGAAGAUACUCUUUAUAGGGGCUAAGUAAAAGCCGAACAAUGCUACUUUGCCAUAAUCUCCACUAAGGUAGCCAUGAAAGAGGUGCAACUAGUUGAAGAGGAAAGAGAAGUCCUAGAGGAUGUUGGCAGGACCCUAAGGCCAAAGUUGUAAAAGACCUGAUUCACUAUGAGAUCAAUGAGCCAAUACUAGACCGUUUCUUCCUCGUAGGUCAAACAUGAGGGAGCGAGAGAGAACUGAGCUCAUUGAGUUCCUAAAAGCAAGCAUCGCGGGGUUUUACAUGGACUCCAUAUGAGAUACUUGAAAUUGACCCAAGUUUCAUCAAACACGAGCUCAACGUCAUGCCCCAGGCUUGUCCAAUAAAGCAUCAGGGAAGAAGGUCUAUAGUGAGAAUGUGGACGAUGUGAUAGAGAAAGUUAAAAAUCUAAAUGAGGCAAGUGCUAUAACAAAGGUUCUUUAACCAAGUUGGUUGUUCAACACAAUUAUGGUAAAGAAGAAAACUGGUAAGUGAAAAGUGUGCAUCGAUUUCACAAGUCUCAAUCGAGUUUGUCCGAAGGAUUGCUUUUCUUUACCAAAAAUUGAUCAAUUAGUAGAUUUAACAUCCGGACAUGCCCGGGUGAGUUUUUUGAACUCAUACCGAGGUUACCAUCAAAUAGCAAUGCACGAGCCUAAUCAAGAGAAGGUUGCCUUUAUCACCACCCGCGAUGUAUUUGCUACAAGGUCAUGCCUUUUGGGUUAAAAAAUGUCAGAGCCACAUAUCAAAGAAUGAUCACCAAGUUGUUCGCCACCAUGGAUGCCUACAUCGAAGACAUAUGGUUAAGAGCAAGAAAAAGCUGGAUCAUUUGAAGAAACUCCUUCAAAAAAAUACAAAAUUUUCUUGGAAGAAAAGAAUGUGAGCUUGCACUCCAAUAAUUUAAAUAGUAUUUAACCAAACUACUACUACACUCCACCCCGAAUGAGAGCGAACUGCUCUACGACUAUAUUGCCAUCUCUGAACAUGCCAUUAACUCGGUGCUGCUAAGGGAGGUGGAGAGCAACGCCCGAUCUACUUCGUUAGCAAGACGUUUACGGACUGCCAAACGAGGUACCUACCAUUGGUGAAACUAAUGUUGACCUUGGUUAUUACUUUGCAAAUACGCAUGCACUAUUUUCAAGCACAUCCAAUUGUAGUGUACACCAAGUUUUCUCUUAAAAAUAUGGUGAUGAAUGCAAACAUGUCCAGGCGAAUGUCCAAAUGGGUUGUCGAGUUUGGAUAGUUUAAUAUAAAAUUUUUGCCAAGAGCAACAAUCAAAGGCCAAGUUUUGGCUGAUUUUGUGACGGAGUUCUCACCCCAAACUAUGAGUCCAGAGUCGGGUUACCCGCGUGUGCACAUAGGAAUGGGGAAAGAUCGAUAGGGACAUCAGCUUCGACCAAGCCAACACCUAAAGGUCUUGAGGUUCAUUAGAAACCCCCUCAGGGUGCAUAGGUACCUAUGACUGAGAAUAUCAUUGAGGGUCCUGAGGUUCACAAGGAACCACCUCAGAUCAAUCAUUUUGUGGCUUGAAAAAUGUAUGUUGACAUAGCAAAAAAUAGCCUAGUUGCAGAAUUAGGCGUUGAUCUAAAAAGUUUCAAAGGGGCGGUUUCUGCGCACAACCUUAAGCUGAAUUUUUUUGCAACAAAUAACGAGGCUCAGUAUGGAGCUUUUACUACGGGACUUCAAUCAACCAACAAGUUAAAGGUUCCCAAACUCUAUCUUUUCAGUGAUUCAAAACUAGUGGUUAACCAGGUCACCAAAAAAUUCAAAGCUUUGAGAGCCAAGAUGGCUAAGUACUUGGCAAUCGCAAAGACCUUUCUAACUGAAUUCACAGCAGUAAUGUAAGAUCCCAAAUUUUAAAAUAUCCAAUUCUUCUAAUUAAUAUAUAAAUUACAUGAUAAAUAAGAAAUAGGUACAAUACAUAUUAUUUAUGUGAAAUUAAUGUAUGUUGUGUUAUAAGUAUUAGUAGGAUUUUUUAUAGAAAUAUUUAUGAAAAUAUGAAUUAUUAUCUGAAAAGAUUUUUGUUAAAGUGUAACUUAAUAGAAAAAGAAACACAUGUCAAGCAUGUCUGACUAACCCAUAUGGAUCAAUAGGGACCACAUGGUGGGGUGAUUCAUCCCAUGAGUCAUUAUGUGAUCAAAUCAUCCAUGUUCAAAAUAUCAAAUCCCUUAAUCACUCCCGUCUUGUCCCAGCAAUUAUGUUGGGACUUGACUACAAAGAAAGAGAGGGAGAAGAAGAAGAAGAGAGAAAAGAGAAGAGAAAAAAGAGAGAAGGAAGAAAAGAGAGGAAAGUAAGAGAAAAUAAAAGGGAUAGAAGAAUUGAAGAACAUGAUAUCCGAUUUAGUUUCACGAGGUAACCUCACGAAUCUUUCUUAUUUAUUUUAUGUAUUUUCGGUUUAAGAAUAGUCUAAAUGCUUUAAGAUUGAGUGUUAUACUCUAUCCUAAUUAAAGUUAACAAAUACGUUAAAAAUACAGCACGAGGACACCGUUUUAGAAUCAAGUGUCAAACCAACAAUUACGCCCUGUUUUUGUUUAAAAAUCAUUGUUAGUAUUUUGGACAAAACUUCUUCAUAUGAAACCUUUUGAGUUGAUUCAAGUGUCUUAAAAUAGCUACUUUAAAUACCGACAACUUUGAUUCAAAUAGCAUUUUUUAAUUUUGAGGUUAGGAUACCUAAAAUAGGCUUGGAAGUCAAGACAAAAACAUAGAGUCCGCAGUUUUUCCCAUCUGAACUGGUCGGGCUUUUCUUGGAUUGAUAGAGAAAAUAUGAGUCAGAUACUAACCUUGGCUGGAUCGAUUAGGCUUUUUUUAGACCGGUUGAAUAGUUUUCUCAACCAGUUGAGACUUGACACACCCUAGCUUUUGAACACUAAAACAUCCACGAUUAGCCUAGUCCUCGGUCGAUAAACGCAAUUACGUUGUAAACAUUUAAGUCAAGGUUCAAAAUGUAAUUGUUUCAAUAAAUGGUACAUAUAGGAAAUUAAUUCAAUUACCCUAAGGAACAAGACGAAAGUGAGAAUACAAUAUUUACACAAGCAAAGUAAGUAACCUUAAUAUAUAAAGUAGAGUAAAUUACUCUUUUAUACCAUAUACGCAUGAAUUAUGUUAUGCUAUGCAAAUCAAAUCUAUGGAUUAGAUAAGAAUCUUUCUAAAAGAUUUUGUAUGUACAUGCCCAUGUACCAUAUGUUUCUGCCUUUUGAGAAUGUACUCGAACGGCAUACUCUGACUUAAGAGGGUGUAGAAAUAUGUUAGCAAACCCGACUAAAGCCGGGAGGUCAUAGUGUAUAAUGUAUGUUUUAUCAAUCACGUUGACGAUUAUACACAUGGUCAAAUGACAAGUUUCAGUAUGAACUAUGACAUAUGAUACCCGACUAAGGGCGGAUACAAGUAUUAGUAUGAAUUUUCAACAUGUUGUUUCAAAAUAUCAAACAUUUUAGCUUACGCUACGUUUUAUAUAUACACACACUAUGUUAGAGAUGUGCUUAGGAAUAUUAUUUCUGAUAAUAUUUCAGGUGAUAAAAGAAAGCAAAUAGAGUAGUUCGAUAGAACCACACAUUUUGAAGUUCCUUUUGAAUAAUGUAAAAUUUAAGAUAGAUUACGUUAUGCUAUGUAACAAUAAUAAUAGGUUUGAUGUUGGCUAUCCUGGAUCAGAAUGUCUGAAACCUUUUGAUUAUGUAAUGUAUGUAAGUAUGUAUGAAUGAUAUGACAGGUAUAGUCUCUCUAUCGAUACGGGUAUGUAUUUUGAAUGAAUCAAUGGAUUUAAUAUUAAUUUUUUAUUGGCUCCAAAAUUCAAUAUAUAUGUUUCACUUCCGCACAUGAAAAGUAAAGAAAACAAAUUUAAAGGGAAAAUGAUUUUGGAACCCGGCGUGACGCCAUUCGAUGUCGCGUGAAGCCACGUGAGGGUUAGG
rnacentral:lncRNA from 1 species